rnacentral:rRNA from 1 species
GACGAACGCUGGCGGCGUGCUUAACACAUGCAAGUCGAACGGAAAGGCCCUGCUUGCAGGGUACUCGAGUGGCGAACGGGUGAGUAACACGUGGGUGAUCUGCCCUGCACCUCGGGAUAAGCCUGGGAAACUGGGUCUAAUACCGGAUAGGAGCCAUUUUUAGUGUGAUGGUUGGAAAGUUUUUUCGGUGUAGGAUGAGCUCGCGGCCUAUCAGCUUGUUGGUGGGGUAAUGGCCUACCAAGGCGGCGACGGGUAGCCGGCCUGAGAGGGUGGACGGCCACAUUGGGACUGAGAUACGGCCCAGACUCCUACGGGAGGCAGCAGUGGGGAAUAUUGCACAAUGGGCGCAAGCCUGAUGCAGCGACGCCGCGUGGGGGAUGACGGCCUUCGGGUUGGAAACUCCUUUCGCUAGGGACGAAGCUUUUUGUGACGGUACCUAGAUAAGAAGCACCGGCUAACUACGUG